UACAGAGGGUGCGAGCGUUAAUCGGAAUUACUGGGCGUAAAGCGUGCGUAGACGGCUAUCUAAGUCGGGUGUGAAAGCCCCGGGCUCAACCUGGGAAUUGCAUUCGAGACUGAAUAGCUAGGGUGCGGUAGAGGGAAGCGGAAUUUCCGGUGUAGCGGUGAAAUGCGUAGAUAUCGGAAGGACCAUCAGUGGCGAAGGCGACUACCUGGCCUGUUUCUUGACGCUGAGGCGCGAAAGCUAGGGGAGCAAACGGG
rnacentral:rRNA from 1 species